AUUGAACGCUGGCGGCAGGCCUAACACAUGCAAGUCGAACGAGUGGCGGACGGGUGAGUAAUGUCUGGGAAUCUGCCUGGUAGUUGGGGAUAACGUCCGGAAACGGGCGCUACUACCGCAUACUCUCAGAUGAGCCUAUGUCGGAUUAGCUAGUUGGUGGGGUCACGGCUCACCUAGGCGACGAUCCCUAGCUGGUCUGAGAGGAUGACCAGCCACACUGGAACUGAGACACGGUCCAGACUCCUACGGGAGGCAGCAGUGGGGAAUAUUGCACAAUGGGCGCAAGCCUGAUUCAGCCAUGCCGCGUGUGUGAAGAAGGCCUUCGGGUUGUAAAGCACUUUCGGCGGGGAGGCGUUACCCGCAGAAGAAGCACCGGCUAACUCCGUGCCAGCAGCCGCGGUAAUAC
rnacentral:rRNA from 1 species